rnacentral:rRNA from 1 species
GAUGAACGCUGGCUACAGGCUUAACACAUGCAAGUCGAGGGGAAACGACGGGGAAGCUUGCUUCCCCGGGCGUCGACCGGCGCACGGGUGAGUAACGCGUAUCCAACCUGCCUCUGACUGAGGGAUAACCCGUCGAAAGUCGGCCUAAUACCUCAUGGUAUCGUCUGCGGGCAUCCAACGACGAUUAAAGAUUUCAUUGGUCAGGGAUGGGGAUGCGUCUGAUUAGCUUGUUGGCGGGGUAACGGCCCACCAAGGCUACGAUCAGUAGGGGUUCUGAGAGGAAGGUCCCCCACAUUGGAACUGAGACACGGUCCAAACUCCUACGGGAGGCAGCAGUGAGGAAUAUUGGUCAAUGGGCGAGAGCCUGAACCAGCCAAGUAGCGUGCAGGAAGACGGCCCUAUGGGUUGUAAACUGCUUUUAUGCGGGGAUAAAGUGAGGGACGGGUCCCUCAUUGCAGGUACCGCAUGAAUAAGGACCGGCUAAUUCCGUG